GCUAGACAUGCCCUCUGGCAGCACCUCCUUCCUCCCCACAUACAUUUGCUUUCUAAUUUUGGAAAAUAAUCUCAUGAACCCCAAACCCAAUCUUAGAGACACUGCCACAUAAAACCCCCACACGCAUGCAUGCAUGCACCCACAGUCGCCUCCCUGGGGGCCUUGCACACCCUGACUGAGAGGGCAGCCAGCCCUGCUUCUGGCAGGGAAGAUGGAGAGAGGGACAAGGAGAGGAAAAGGAAAAGGGAGAAUCAGGCAGACAGAAGUAGGGCAGAAGCUGGGUUCAGAGCCUUGGCCAUGCUAUCACCAGCUUACAGCCGAGAAACAGACAGGCAGAGUGAGGGUACGAGGCUGGGGUCAGAGGUUUUGAAGCCAGACUCAUCCCUGGCCUCCUGACUCAAGGCUCUUUCUGCCACCCAGACAGAAUCAUACCUAGCUGGGCCAUGGCUAUUUAAGGGAGGCCAUUCACCCACUAAUCACAGAUUCUGACCUUCAUGGCUUAGUCUGACCUUCACAGCUUAGUAUGAAAAAAAUGCAGGGAAUGGGGGCAUUUGAGGAGUCCAUGCCGGGACCUCCAAACACUGCAUCUCUGAGAUCAAUAUAGACCUUCUGGAAAGGCCCUGGUUAUUUACAAGCUUCUGCUCACACCUAGUGCCCAAUUCGUCACAUUCUCACUAAACACAACCUCAGCACCAUGGGGGGACAGGGAAGGGUCUGUUCUCCCUGCACAUAGAAGCGGCCAGGCACCCAGCUUACCCUGAAUCUGGAAACUUCUGCACUCAGAAUCCUGGAUUCCAUUCCCCAGUCAACUGCAGGUCCCAGGUAAGGAAACCCAUUCCAGUUCUCUGAGUUUGGGAAGAAAGGGCAGGCCCACUCAUCGGUGAUGCUGGAGCUCCAGCUGAAGAACCCACCAGCCCUGGAGGAGGGGGGCCUGGGCUGGGCGGACUCUCUGGCAAGAGCAGGUUUCCAUGGAGACAUGAAUCCAGGGCUGGAAGGACCUUCUCAGUUUGCUCUGAGCCACUGCCUGGCUCACACCCUACGUGAGGCUCCUGCCCUCAUCUCCCCCUGGCAUAUUCUCCCCACAUUGGACUGGCAGAUGAUGGCUCACUGUGCAAAGCACUUAGUGACAGGAUCCUUUUAUUCCUCACUCUAACCAACCCAAUGGGCACGAACUCCAUCAAAGGAUGAAGCAGAGUCCCAGAAGAUCAAGUGUUCGCCCAAGUCUCAGAGUUUGGGAAGAAAGGGCAGGCCCACUCAUUGGUGAUGCUGGAGCUCUGGGCGAAGAACCAAAAGUCACCCAGUGAGUUCACGGGGACACACAGCUCCACCUCCAGCAGAGGUUCCUACUCCCCCAGCUGGGACAGCCACUGCAGCACCGCUCUGCUCUCUCGCCUCCCCAGCGGCAGACACCCCAGCCUGUGCCACGGCCACUGCUCAGGAUGGGGAAGGAGGUUUGAUUUGCCCAAGGACCACCAGGGAAUCACUGCAUGGGCUGACCCCAGCUGCAGCCCUCCUGCAUGGCUGCCUGUCACUCCAGCUAAGCAGAGGAGCUGCCGUUACCAGCACCCUUUCCCUUUCUAAUCUGAAGGCAGCCCUGCGGUGAGAGAGUCCCAGCGUCACCCAUCACCCCAGCAGGUCAGGGGCCCUGGAGUCCCCCCUUGAUGAAUGACCUUAGCAGGAAAGAGAAAUCUGCCCCCU
rnacentral:lncRNA from 1 species